rnacentral:rRNA from 1 species
AACGUAGGUCCCGAGCGUUAUCCGGAUUUACUGGGCGUAAAGCGUGUUCAGGCGGUCUAGCAAGUCGGGCCUGAAAUCUCUCGGCUCAACCGGGAGGGGUUGUCCGAUACUGCUGGGCUUGAGGGCAGCAGAGGGUGGUGGAAUUCCGGGUGUAGUGGUGAAAUGCGUAGAUAUCCGGAGGAACACCAGUGGCGAAGGCGGCCACCUGGGCUGUACCUGACGCUCAAACACGAAAGCUAGGGGAGCGAACGGG